CCGUCAGUAUAACACCGGCAGAGGACCAGUGAGGAUGUGAGUAGAUAGCGCACAUGGAGUCACUUAUCGACGACUGAAGAAUUGAUAAGUGUCUCCACUGUUCAGCAUAGUCCAGCAACGCUGACAGCCGUGGGUGGAGGCGAGGCUAAGAGUGAUGAGGCUACGAGUACUCCACUAAGUCAGUGUGGAUAGUCAGCCCCAGCAGACGGUAUGAGCGAUGUUUGUAACUGCUGCUAAGUCAACAAUACUUGGAGGCACUACAACGACGUCUGCAACACCAUCGUUUCCCCCUGACCAAUCACCAUACAUACAACCACGAGACUUUAAGUCAAAGUUCAGCAGGAAACGAUUCUUUCUCAACACUCGGGACGGCAAACCACCCCAAUGGUCUGCCCCAAUUGCUGCCUGUUCUCUCGACUCAGAUGCUCGGCAUUCCGAUCACAGUCUGCAAUAUCAGUGAACUGAUGCUCUGCAACACCCUUCCUACGGACUCCCACCUGCAUGCAUUGACAUUCGGCCAAGACUUGUGCCUCCCGGGACACAAGGCCUGUCACAGCCCCGCCAACUCGAUGGACACGGCUGCUUCCUAGGUGAUUCUGCCCCCCCCCCCCCCAGCCAGGCUUAACCUCCCGUGUUCAGUGUUCUUAACCCCAAAGGACGUCCUUACUAGUGCAGGGGAAGUGUCUUGCUUAGGAUGUUGAGGUUGGGGGGUUAUCUUCAGGUUACCCUGAGAUGAUUUCGGGGCUUAGCGUCCCCGCGGCUCGGUCCUCGACCAGGCCUAUCUGGGUAUCGUGGAUAUUCGACCAACAAUGUCACGUAUUUCUAAAAAUACAUGAUUGAUGAAGAUUAAGCCACUCAAAAGGUGGUACGGGCAUGAAUAGCCCGUAAGUGGUGGCCUUUUUCAGCCAUUACCAGUAUCAUUAGCUGAUACUGGAGAUCUGUGGAGGUGCGACUGCACCCUGCGUGACGGGAGGUGUCUGCCCCGUGAAAAAAUACAUGGGGACAGCCGAAUUGACUUGUUUCAUGAACUCUUCGAUGCCCACUAAUUACACAAGUGAACAUACACUACAUAAUGGCAGCAAGUCAUCCAUAAACUCCAAUGUACGACUGCCUUAAUACAUGCAUUACCAAGGAGACUACAAGCCCUACCUCGUUCCAACACUUAACUCUGAACAGAAACCAAAAUGUUCUGUCAAACACAAUACUAGCCUUUAGCACACCAGACCUCGUCUAGGAACUACACUAGACAAACAUUGCCGACGCGUAUCUCUCACCAGAGACGCCCUAGAAAUGUAUCCCAUUGACGCAGGCGCAACAAUUAACUGACGCAGGAACAACAGACUUUUGAACCCAAUACAUGCAUGUUCAUGCUUACAACAUUGCACAUUUUAUAUACCACCAUUUUCCCCACAUGGAACACAUUCACUCUAUUGUAUCAUCAUAUCCAUAGACACUUUGUUGGCUGUGGGUUCCUAGGUUACUUUUAAUCCCACUCGGACUGAAAAGUUGCUGCCCCUUUUAAGGCUGCUGCCGCUCGCCUUGCUGCUUUGUCCUGUGGUUGGACACCCUGGAUUGGGUGUCCCAAAAACGCCCUGCUAAAUGCCAGCGUUGGCACUGUUAAUUGCGACUAGUGUUCGGGACUUCCAACACUGCCUUGAGGAUAUAUAUAUCCUCAUAGAAAGGCCCUGGGCCUCAAGGCUAUCUUGUGGAAUGACUUAUCCCCCCCCCCCUUGUGAUCGUUGUCUUGGCUCUUCGUAUUGAUAGAUCACUUUCUGCACCUGUCGAUUCUAUGGCCUCUUAAGUUUUCCUCUUGCAUCUCCGACCGUCCGGUCCACCCCUCCUUCCCGUUCGUCUCCUUGCCCGGUUAGCGUCGCUUCUCUACCGACUCCUUUUUCCUCUGCCUACAGUCUCUUCGAUGUCGUCUUUCUUCUCGAUGUCUUUUUGUCCCUCCUCCGAAUCUGUUUCCUGCUCUCGUUCCCCCACUCCAUCUGAGUUAAUGGAGGCCGUUGCCCAGUACAUCGCUACUGGCACGGCCGUGUCUCAGAAAUGGAAACCUGGUUCCUCCCCAGCGGGUAAGGCGGCUUCCCACCAUUUCCUCUCCCGUCUCGGUUGAUCUGGCUAUGGUGGUUCCCGCGGUCCUUGAUUCUGCCUCUAGUUCUGUUCCUGGUGACGUGCUCCCUGCCGUUUGUCGGUUGGCCCGUUCUCCCUCGACUGCCCUUCCUCUACUGACCCUGUCAGCUCGCCUCGGCUUUUUCCUCCAAAACUUGCACC